GGCUCAGAACGAACGCUGGCGGCGUGCUUAACACAUGCAAGUCGAACGCGAAAGGGACUUCGGUCCUGAGUAAAGUGGCGCACGGGUGAGUAACGCGUAGAUAACCUGUCUUUGUGUCUGGAAUAAUACGUCGAAAGGUGUACUAAUACCGGAUAUUCUUGCAUUUCACAAGUUAUGCAAGGAAAGGUGGCCUCUGACAUAAGCUACUGCACAUAGAGGGGUCUGCGUACCAUUAGCUAGUAGGCGGGGUAAUGGCCCACCUAGGCUACGAUGGUUAACGGGUCUGAGAGGAUGAUCCGUCACACUGGCACUGGAACACGGGCCAGACUCCUACGGGAGGCAUCAGUGAGGAAUAUUGCGCAAUGGGGGAAACCCUGACGCAGCGACGCCGCGUGAGUGAGGAAGGCCUUCGGGUCGUAAAGCUCUGUCAAAGGGAAAGAAGUGCAUGGUGGUUAAUACCUGCCAUGUUUGACGGUACCCUUAAAGGAAGCACCGGCUAACUCCGUGCCAGCAGCCGCGGUAAUACGGAGGGUGCAAGCGUUGUUCGGAAUUACUGGGCGUAAAGGGCGCGUAGGCGGUUUGAUAAGUCAGAUGUGAAAGCCCACGGCUUAACUGUGGAAGUGCAUUUGAUACUGUCAGACUUGAGUACCAGAGGGGAAAGUGGAAUUCCCGGUGUAGAGGUGAAAUUCGUAGAUAUCGGGAGGAAUACCGGUGGCGAAGGCGACUUUCUGGCUGGAUACUGACGCUGAGGCGCGAAAGCGUGGGGAGCAAACAGGAUUAGAUACCCUGGUAGUCCACGCUGUAAACGAUGUCAACUAGAUGUAGGGGGUGUUGAUCCCUUCUGUGUCGCAGCUAACGCAUUAAGUUGACCGCCUGGGGAGUACGGUC
rnacentral:rRNA from 1 species